CCUACGGGUGGCAGCAGUGGGGAAUAUUGCACAAUGGGGGAAACCCUGAUGCAGCGACGCCGCGUGAGUGAAGAAGUAUUUCGGUACGUAAAGCUCUGUCAGCAGGGAAGAAAGAAAUGACGGUACCUGACCAAGAAGCCCCGGCUAACUACGUGCCAGCAGCCGCGGUAAUACGUAGGGGGCAAGCGUUAUCCGGAAUUACUGGGUGUAAAGGGAGCGUAGACGGUUAAGUAAGUCUGGAGUGAAAGGCCGGGGCCCAACCCCGGGACUGCUCUGGAAACUAUUGAACUUGAGUGCAGGAGGGGUAAGCGGAAUUCCUAGUGUAGCGGUGAAAUGCGUAGAGAUUAGGAGGAACACCAGUGGCGAAGGCGGCUUACUGGACUGUAACUGACGUUGAGGCUCGAAAGCGUGGGGAGCAAACAGGAUUAGAUACCCUUGUAGUC
rnacentral:rRNA from 1 species